rnacentral:rRNA from 1 species
UACGUAGGGUGCAAGCGUUGUCCGGAAUUAUUGGGCGUAAAGAGCUCGUAGGUGGCCUGUCGCGUCGGCUGUGAAAACUCGGGGCUCAACUCCGAGCUUGCAGUCGAUACGGGCAGGCUAGAGUUCGGCAGGGGAGACUGGAAUUCCUGGUGUAGCGGUGAAAUGCGCAGAUAUCAGGAGGAACACCGGUGGCGAAAGCGGCGCACUGGACCAUAACUGACGCUGAUGCGCGAAAGCUAGGGGAGCAAACAGG